GUAGGGAAUAUUGCACAAUGGGGGAAACCCUGAUGCAGCGACGCCGCGUGAGUGAUGAAGGCCUUCGGGUCGUAAAGCUCUGUCGUAUGGGACUAACACAAUGAAGGUACCAUGCAAGAAAGGAUCGGCUAACUUCGUGCCAGCAGCCGCGGUAAGACGAGGGAUCCUAGCGUUGUUCGGAAUCAUUGGGCGUAAAGCGGGUGUAGGCGGAUUUAUAAGUCAGGUGUGAAAUCCCAGGGCUCAAACCUGGAAGUGCACUUGAUACUGUAAAUCUUGAGUGUGGUAGAGGUUACUGGAAUUGUUGGUGUAGUGGUGAAAUACGUAGAUAUCAACAGGAAUACCGGAGGCGAAGGCGAGUAACUGGGCCAACACUGACGCUGAGACCCGAAAGCGUGGGGAUCAAACAGGAUUAGAUACCCGAGUAGUCC
rnacentral:rRNA from 1 species